CUUUGCCAGUGGAAAUGUCUAACAGGCUUGUGAGCAAACUCUCUGCUCCUGUUCUGGCAUGAGACUGUAUAUAUACGGAUUUUUUUUAACUGUAAGAGGAAAUUUGGAUUGAGUGGUGUGUUUCCUGCACUUAGAGAGGAAAACUAACCAGGUGUGACAUGAAAUGGGAAAUAAAUCUAACCCAUCUAGUGUAGACUCAUUGCCCACCCCCAACACUUAUCCCCUGAGUGAAAUAGUUACGAUUAGGAAGCAAUAAAUAAAAUAUUUCCUGGAUAAACCUUAGUUCUUUACUACAGCAUGGUUUCAAUAAAGCAGAAUUAACUACUUUUGCCUUUACUUGGUUCUGCCUCUGCAAUCUGAAGUCAUGACCUGGCAGACUGAGUGGGAAAGGUGCCAUCUGUGAGUUAUUAAUAAACUUUUAUGUCGUAAGAAAUAUUUCUACAAAAUGCUUUGAGCUGGUUGUAGGAAUGGCUUUGCAGAACCAGAAGAUAUCUCCUCACUUUCACGUCAGAACAGACCUGCUGUGGCCUUAAAAAUGGGAUUUUGAGUACCCAGCAUCAGCAGGGACGUUCUGGCACGUGUCCUGGGUAAACACGGGGGGCAAAAAAAGUCACAUUUUUUCCUCUCUUCUCUGUAACUUGCAAUCACAACAAAGCUGGGGCUGUUGGUUCCCAUCUGGAAAAUUUCACACCUCUUAAAGAAAAAAAAAAUAGAUCUGUCCAGUUCUAUGUACUUAACCAGCAACCCAAAGGUCAGAGCGAGCAGCCAGGACGAGUGUUUCGCUUUGUCUUUGAUUUCUGUUACUCAAAGUGCCCCACAGCUGUGACACGAGUGGUCUUUCGCAGCAGUUUGGCUUUUGGAGGUUUGCUGAGCUUCCCUCUGUCCGUCUGGCAAAUGUCCGUGCUUCGCCACAGCGUCUUGAAAGGGCUUUAGAUCCUGGGUGUUGCCCGAUUUUUCCAAUUCACUUCCAAAUUCUUUUCGUCUCUUAAGUCUUGAGCUGAUCCCUACUGCGUGGCUUAAGGUGUUGGUCAGAAAGGAACAGCAAGGAAGUGAAUUGUUUGCCAAAUAGGGUGUCUCACUACAAACAACCUUUUUUUCUUCUUUUCAUUUUCCGCUACCUUUCUUUUACAUUCUUUUUUUUUUUCAUCUUCCUUGCCUUAUCAAAGUCUCUGAGAGAUACUUUGUUCUUCAAAGCAUUUUGGAAGGAGAUCUCCACCUCCAGCCCCAGUGAAUCCAUUCCAGCAGUACUGAAGUGUUGCAGCAUCCUUCCUUUGGUUCAGCAAUAAAAGAGCAGUUCAUACUUGAUUUCCAGUUGUCUCCAGUGGAUGCUGGGAGCCCCUGCAAGAAGGGGGCUGGGAGAGCUGCCAGGAGAAAGAAUUCUUUAUAAAGUAGCUGUGAGGGGGCCAUAACCUUCUGCAGGAAGAGCUGCUCUCCACGAAGGUGGAUCCUAUUGUAAGUGGUCCUGUGUUUCAGGAGGCUUUUUAAUUAGCAUCUGGUUUUGGCCAAGCAUGUGCUUCCACCUCCCUCUUGUCUGGGAGCAUCUGAGGAGAGGGAGCUGUGACUGCUGCUCAGGAGCUGUGGAUGUGAGACGGGAACUGCCAAGUGCCAGAGUCCUCUGUCUUGUGUCUUUGGGAGCACUUGGCUCGAUAAAACCUGCAAGUCUGCAAAACAGAGCAACUUAGGAGCUGUGCUUUAAUGAAGCAGUCACACCUCGCGCUUCUGUGUCUAGCAGAGAUACUGGUUUGACUGUAAUUAAGAGGAUUCUUCUUAAUCACGGUGCAUUGAGGAGCCACGGUUCGUGCCGAAGGCAGCAUCUUUCCCCUCGCUCGCUUCCAGCAGGUGAAGUGAAACAGGACAUGGAGCCCUGCACUCGCUGCCAGCGCUUUGUGCUGCCCUGGCCUGAGGAGCAGGUUUUGUUUGGAUUCACAGACCUGCAGCCCCCGGUCUCCUCUCACUGCUCUCCCUUCUGCUCCCUUGCUGCUGUGCUCGUGUUAUUUUCCCAUUGAGUUUCCUUUCUCUUUUGAUACAGUUAGUGCUGCUGAUUCCUUUUCGCUCUGGUAUCUGUUUGGGUUCUGCAAAGAAUCUUUCAUAACCCAAAUGGGACAGUUUAAAACACUCUGUAAAGCUGGCGGUGCCUCUGGUGAUGGCAGAGGUGUUGAGAGACUCUCCCUCCUCUUGGCUGCUGCUUUUCCCCUGCUCCUGCUGCUCCGGACACUUCCCUGCUGCCACUUACCAUAUCUUCAGGACCACAGGUUGCCUCUGGAAAGGUGGCUUUUAUUUUUUUAAAAACUAAGGAAAAACCUGGAAGUGUGCAUGUUAACGAAAUGGUAAUCAUUUGCUUGUCUGCAGUAACUUUGUGUUAAAUGGAGCCUGUGUCUUGGGCAGACCCCACUGGGCAGGGUCUGUGGAGCUGACUCCUUUCUGGAAGAACGUUCUUUCUACAUCUCUUCCAUCCAUCCAGUUAGUGGAGAAGUUAACAUCAAUGCAGGAAGCCCCCAGUGUGGAAAACAUGCUCUGUGGGCAGGUCUUGGUCCAGAAACAAUUUUUUUAUUGACGUGUUUAUGUUCCCGUGGAGUUUACUCGCUCUUGCAAUAAUAUUGGAGCUGUCAGACACAGCUGGGGAAGGCAGCGGCGUUUGUGUACGUGCCAAGUCCCUGUUCUCAGCCCUUGAACCCUUGUCACUGAGCAGUUUUCAAGUGGUUUGUGUGUCCUUCUUUCCCCUUUUAAAAAGAAAAAAAAAAAAGCCCUCAAAACAUUUUCGGUGUGUAAUUAACCUUAAGGCUGUGAAUCCAAAUGUUCUAAAGUUAAGUAACACUCAAUGAAAAAGUUCAAUGGUAGCGUUGAUCCUACUGUGACCUUUUUAUUGCUUCUUGGGUGUGUAUUAGUACUGAUACCUGUUUCUGUCACAGAAAACGCAAGGUGAGACUGGAGGUUACCACCAUGACAUUGAUUUCAUAUCCCACACCCCCAGGCAUCUGACCCUGCAAAUUCAGGGAUUGUAGGCAAUAAAUUUGCAUUUGAUUGUUAAGCACAGAAGGUACUGGCCUUUGCCGGGUGGGCAGAGUUGCAUUAAAAGCUUCCAAAUAUUCCCUCUCAAUAUUCCUGGGGUUUGUCAUCCCUGCUGGCUUGGGGUGAGACUUUCCCAUACGUUCUUGUAUAUUUUUUUGGCAGGAUAUAGUAGGAGUGUCAUUGUGUGCAGGCAGCUCAUAACCAUCCUCUUCCUGCGAAACGGUCCAUCAGAGCAGGAACUCGAGUCUCGUACCCAGCAAGAAAAAGAAGUGGUGCUCAAAGUGCUCUGAAAUUCAGCCAUUAAUAUGCUUUAGCUACUAACUGCCCCCUCCUGCUCCGGAGGCAGCAGUAACCUUGUGCUUCCUCGGGGUCUGACUCCAGGAACCUGCAGGAGUUCCCUGGGCCCUGCUCUCCCCCCGGCAGGGUCUGUGGUAGUUGUUCAUCUGAAACCGUGACUCACCCGGAGCUUCCCGGUGUCAUCGGCUCCGGCUUCUGUUGGGGGAACGAGAAGGCAAAGUGUGUGUGUGUCAGGUUACCCGGUUACCUGUUUAAUUUUCUUUCCCUGCCCCCUCCGCUUGU